CCCUCCCGGGCUCCCCACCUCUCGACCCCCGCCGCCGCCCCACCCCCUCCGACCUCCGCCAUCCGCUCCGCCCUGCUGCCGCAGUUGCUAGGGUUAGGGUUGGAGAGGAGGGACGGCCAACAGAUCCAGGCGUGCGGUCGGGCGAAGGAGCACGGGCGCAGGUGCGGCGGCGGCGGCCGGCGCAUCCAGGCCCAAGGCCGGGCGAUGGAGCGCGGGCAAGGCGAGCGCAGGUGCGGCGGCGGUGGAGCUCCACUGCAGGUGUCGCUGGCAUUCGCACUUCGCAGCGGCGGGGCUCCGUUGCGGCCGCCGAAGUUGGGUGCCAGCAGAGGUCGCCUGCAGGCCCCUACGGCUGCUCACGGCUGCGUGGACCAUCGACCCUCUGCUCCCACCGCCUCUGUGCGUGGCGCCACCGCUGUUUUCUCUUCCAUUGGGGCGGGCAGUGGAGCUCAGCUGGAGGCCGCGGCUAGGGCAAAAGGGGCACACGGCGGAGCUCAGUGGUGGGGUGGGCGGCGGAGUUUGGAUGGAGGGCACAACUGCUCUACUCGUGGUGGCCGCCGAUAACUUCUGCUGCAGGUCUAUGUGGUGCCGUGGUGGCCAGGGGACGGCCGUAUGGCAACGAUGCAGCAGUGGAGCAGCACUCACAACGCUGCUGUGCAAUGGCAACACUCCUAGCAGCAGCCCGACAGCAUUGCUGCAGGCAUGUUCAGUAGUAGGCAACCAAGGACGGAAGGGCCUAGGCAACUACAACAAGCAAGGAUUGUUAAUGUGCAAUUCAACAAACUGAAGAUUAAAGAAUUGUUGUAACAUGGACAAGGAUGGAGACAUCGCAUCUGUUUUUUUUCAGAAAAUAUGUGAUAAAGAGGACGGCUUUGCCUUCCCUGGUAGUGGUUUUGAAGGAAGAACAAACUGAACAUCCAUGUAUGCUGAGGUAGCCGAUGACAUGGGCAUAAAUUUUGAGUUCAGAUUGGUAAUACUUCAGUUAGCACAAGACACAUAUAGUUUGUAUCCAACUUGCACUUUUUCCAACUCAAGAUCAAUGUUUAAUAGAACAGGGUAUCAUUGUUCCAAGGAUGGUUGCACAGGUAUAACUAUAUUGAUCUUUAGGCACAUUUUAGAUUCUCUAAUAACUAAAAGUGUUAUCAGUAUUAGGCUGAAUGUGUAAUGCAAUGAUAAUUCUAUAUAUCAUAUAUAUUUAUAUACUACUGAUGAAUAAGAUGAGACAAUAAUAGUAGUACCUCGUGAUGAAUGUAUAUCUUAUAUACUUAGUACCUAUGUCAUAACUAGGAAUUCUUUACCUUUAACUCAUCGUCUACUCUACUGGUUCCCUUUCCAGAUUUGUAAAGUAGUAUCUCUAUACACAUUAUUUCUCAUUUCUUUACAUACUUCAGAAAUCAAUAAAAUUGUGUUUUGGAACGAAAUAAGUGCUAUGGCAUCGGUUUGCCUAGAGGAAGAAACAUGUAGUGUUUGUGCCAUUGGUUGUCAGUGACAUUGUUUAUUCUAUUGAAAAAAGAAUAUGGUCCUAAUCAAGCACAACAUAUAUAAAGGUCAACUACAUGUUUGCUCUUUUCACAGCCGAAAUUUUUUACAUAAUUCAUGGUUCAUCUCUUACCCUAAUGUACGCCUCUUUCUUAAAACUAAAUAUUUUCAUACCAUAUUCUCAUUUGUUUAAAUUGAAUGUGCAUGUGUACAACCCAAAUGGAAGCACAUGGGAGCUCAUCAGACUAAGUGACUAACGAUAGGAUCUCUUGGCUAUGGUAAUGGCUGAAGCAUUUGGGGUACUUCUGUAUAAAUAGGAUCUGGUCAUGAAUUAAGAUAUUUGCAGCCUCCCAAACAGAGAUGUCAGGGUCGACAGUAUGCUACGUGUAAUCUCCAAUUUGCCUUGCUAACGCAUAUGCAGUUAUAUAAGCAAAGCCACUUUUGAUCUCUCCUUGAAGGCAGCUGGGUAUUUGGACUAUGCAAUUCAUCUUGCAUGCGGCCUCCAAUUGCAUAUGGGUAUAUGAUAUAAUUUCGAGGAUCCUAUUCCUAUUGCUCUAAAGAGGGUUAUAUCUCUUCAUGGUGCCUAAAGUACAAAUUGGUAUUUCUCUCACCAGAUAACAUAGCAGCGCUUCAGACUUUAUAUUAAAAAUAUCUUGAUUUUCUUCUACUAUGUCUUAUUGGAGGACUGAAGUGUAGAAAUGAGCAAAUUAGGGUGAUUUUCCCUAUGCAUUGUUCUGAUGAUCUGCUGCUAAUUUCUACCUUUGUAAUUUUUCUUUCGGAAUUACUCUAUGGGUAUUUGCAAUAAAGAAAACUCUUUGUAGAUGA